UCUGUGCUAGCCCAGGAAGGCAUAUUUUUCUUAACUGAUCUAGGUGUUAACUGAUCCAGGUGUUGUCAUAUGCUCCAGAUUUUAUAUGGCCCAUUGUAUAAGAUGCAGUUUGGAUUAUUAAUCUGGAACAACUAUAUCAUGGAGGUGUUGUUUAAGGUUCCCUUGCUAAUUUUAUCUUAAGCUGCAGUUCUGCAUCUUUGGGUAAGAUAAUCUGUCCAGUGCUUUUUGCCAUACAAUACCAAGCAAAUUCAUUUGCAUUUGCAGCUAUGGACGAACCCUUCUUUUUGUUCUCAUGUUAGUGUUAGAGCAGCUACAUUUCCCUGUGUUCAACGCUGCAUCGCUCAGUUCGUUUGCUUGGUUCCUUUGCUCGGCGCAGGAGGUUAGGAGACCAUCAACCGUAAGGAGGAGGAAUAAAAAGAAGUUCAGAAGCCAAGGACCAUCUUCAACCUGAUUUUAGGCAUCCUCAAGUAAAGGGAUGAGAGGGCUUUCUAACUGUAAUGAUGUUCUAGCUAGGAGAAGACGAACUUGCAAACAUAAGAACCAGGUGACGAUGAUGAUUUACUUUGGGACGACGAUUUUAAUGAUGUUCCAGCUAGGAGAGAUAGACUCACAAACACAUAUGUUGUAGACGAACGGUAAAUAUCGUUUCUCUUCACAAGCAUUAGGACUUGAUUUUGGUAAAUCAUGUUACCAUUUCUGUGACCUCGGCAUUUGGAAGACAUGCCAUCCGAAUCGUCUAUCAUAACUGAACGAUUACUAUCACAAGCAUCUUACUUUUAGAAAUUCAUAUGAUGGUUCAGUUGUCUA